rnacentral:rRNA from 1 species
GACGAACCGUGCGAACGUUGUUCGGAAUCACUGGGCUUAAAGGGCGCGUAGGCGGGCCAUCAAGUCCGGGGUGAAAUCCUCCGGCUCAACCGGAGAACUGCCUUGGAUACUGAUGGUCUUGAGGGAGGUAGGGGCAUGUGGAACUUCCGGUGGAGCGGUGAAAUGCGUUGAUAUCGGAAGGAACGCCGGUGGCGAAAGCGACGUGCUGGACCUCUUCUGACGCUGAGGCGCGAAAGCUAGGGGAGCAAACGGG